CUUCUGACUGCAAUGUUGGGCAGUGUUUCUCCUGUUUGUCAGCGCUGUUUCAUCUGGUUUUAAACUAGUUUAUCACAGAGUUAUUUGUGUUCUUUUCUGAAUCUUCAAGUUAUCAUGUGGUCGUCUGAUAGAACUACAGUCUGUAGUUAACCUACUUCAGUUAACUUCAAACGGACAAGAUCAUCGUUUACUUAUUUCAAUAAUAAUAAUAAAUAUUUGUACUAAAUGGAAAAGAAAGUGCUCUAGACAUCUUGCUACAAGUAUAAUAUAUUAUUUCAUAUAUUUGAACAAAACUGAGUAUAGUUAAAAUGUAAGUUUGCUAUAACAGGGAGGAAAAAACACUGCUAACUCUGAUUAAAAAAUAUCCCUCAAAGAAAAAAAAAAGAAAAAGAAAAUAAUAAUAAUAAUAUAUCUCACUCUGCAGUUAAAUGAUGAAUUCACUUCUUUGAAUACUGACAAAGAGGUCAGCACUAUCUUUAGUGAUAACGAAAUCCAUAGACCUUUGUAAAGCAGAAAGACAUCAUAGGCUACGCCACACACGUAUAUGCUUUACAGGACGUAUUUACAUUGGUAGAUUAAUAACUGCUUCAAAAUAAUUGUUGACUCACCAGAUAUGUUGAACUUAUCUUGUUAUUAUGUGCUUGUUACUGAUUUAUUUAUAUUUACAACACAACUGGUGAUAGUAUAGCCUAUUUCUAGUUUAAAAUGAGCCUAUUUAAUCUCGAAAUCUGCGACACUUGGUUUGUUAGCCACUGGCUAUAUCUGGCUCGCGAGAUCCACUUUCCUGCAGAGUUUAGCUCUAACCCUAAUUAAACACGCCCAAGUUUGCAAAUCAAUGUCUUCAGGAUAAAAAAAAUCACAGGUAGUUUUGUUUGAUUAGGGUUGGAGCUAAACUCUGCAGGAAAGUGCACCUCGCGAACCAGAUUUGAGGAUCACUGCUGUAGACUUUUGUUUACUGAACUUGACCCAGACUUAGUCUCCUAGGCCGUGUCUCAAAACCUAGGGAGUUGUCUGACUAGACAGCAUUUUGGCCAUUAUGUGUUUUCCCAAAAAUGCGGUAAGGUAAGCAGCUAACUACGAUUUGAGAAACAGCCCUACACUUCCGUGAACGGACGCACGUCUAUCGUAGCCCUGCAGUAACCCAAUAGAUGGCACUGUUUAUCUACAGUAGAUGAAGAUGGAUGGCCGGCCACGAGGAACGUUCUCUCCUUCUUCAUCUCCUCAUUUUCAAGUACAAGAAGCCCAAGGAGAUUUUAGCACUGGAACAGGAGCUGCUUGGGGAACUGAAGAAACUGAAAGGGACAAGUGAAGGAGAUACUGACUGUAAAACACAGUGAACUGCUGUGAACCCAGAGCCUUUUUUUGCAUAAUUGUAUUUAUCUGGCUGUUCAUUUAUGCUUAGUCUCACUUUGGUAUGUUUCUAUGACAUGUUCCUGUCUGCCUUGUGUGUCCAUGCAACUCACUUUCACUUUGUUAUUUUUAUUUUAUUUUUUAUUUUUCAAAUCUAAUGCUAAUUCAUGCUCCAACUGUACACUUGUUCUUUGAGUCUAAAUUAUACAUUUCACUGGCUAAAAUUAAUUAGGAUUAUUUUUUAUUAUUACUAUUAUUAUAUAUUAACAUUAUAGUAAGAAGUUUGCUUUAUUCCAGCUAUUUCCACACCACAGCUUAAAUAUCUAAAGACUUCAUCAUUAAAUAAUGAUAGCACAUGCAUAAGAAAUAAAUGAAAAAAACAUGUAAGAAAUAACAAGUAAUCUAUAAAACAAAAACAUGAAAAGAGAAUGCAUAAAUACAAUUCUGCAGUGCAGUCAUCAGUAGCAUGCAACACAGUACUCGUUCAGCAAAUGUACAGCUAAAGAGAUGUUUAAUUGAAGCAGAUUCAUAAAUUGACAACUUUUAUAACAUAUAACAGUUGUACAGUUGAAUUAUUAUUAGAGAUUCAUCAUCAAAUUUCUAUUAGCAUGAAAGUCACUGAACUUGCGCCAUGAUAUGCUGUCAAUACUGCCAUCCUGAAUAAUC